UACGGAGGAUGCGAGCGUUAUCCGGAUUUAUUGGGUUUAAAGGGUGCGUAGGCGGCUUUUUAAGUCAGCGGUGAAAUUUUGCAGCUUAACUGUAACAGUGCCGUUGAUACUGGGGAGCUAGGAUUUGGUUGCUGUGGGUGGAAUGUGUGGUGUAGCGGUGAUAUGCUUAGAGAUCACACAGAAUAUCGAUUGCGAAGGCAGCUCACAAAGCCAAGAUUGACGCUGAGGCACGAAAGUGUGGGGAUCAAACAGGA
rnacentral:rRNA from 1 species